rnacentral:rRNA from 1 species
AUGGAGUACAGAAGAGUGAAGGAUCAGGAGAGUUAUGACGCCAUAUCUCAGAAGGACAUAGAAAGCCCUGAUGGGAGGUCUCUUUCUAGCACUGCAGCAACUUCCCCCCUUGGCACCGUAGGAGGUUCGAAGGGCAAGAAUAGCUGGAAGCAAAAGUCUAUUGUAACAAUUGCAUUGACAUUACUAACAAGUUCCCAGGCAAUACUGAUUGUGUGGUCAAAAAGAGCUGGAAAGUAUGAAUAUAGUGUCACAACAGCAAAUUUUUCGGUGGAAGCUUUAAAAUGUCUAUUAUCACUUCUAGCCCUGUACAGAACAUGGAACAGUCAAGGUGUUACAGAAGAUAAUAGGUUAAGUACAUCAUUUGAUGAAGUUAGUGUUUAUCCUAUCCCUGCCGUACUUUACAUGGUAAAGAAUCUAUUGCAGUAUUACAUCUUCGCCUAUGUGGAUGCACCAGCUUACCAGAUCCUGAAGAACCUGAAUAUUAUCAGCACUGGUGUCUUAUACCGUAUCAUUUUAAAGAAAAAAUUAAGUGAAAUUCAGUGGGCUGCAUUUAUUCUCUUAUGUGCUGGCUGCACUACGGCUCAGCUAAACCCCUCAUCAGACCAUGUUCUUCAAACGCCAAUUCAAGGUUGGAUGAUGGCCAUUGUGAUGGCUCUUCUAAGUGGUUUUGCUGGGGUAUACACAGAAGCUAUAAUAAAAAAACGUCCUUCGAGAAACAUCAAUGUGCAGAAUUUCUGGCUGUACAUUUUUGGAAUGCUCUUCAACUUAGUUGCCAUUUGUGUUCAGGACUUUGAUGCUGUCAUGAACAAAGGCUUUUUUCAUGGCUACUCAUUUAUUACACUUCUGAUGAUUCUUAACCAUGCACUCAGUGGCAUUGCUGUAUCAAUGGUGAUGAAGUAUGCUGACAAUAUUGUCAAGGUGUAUUCAACUUCAGUCGCAAUGCUUCUGACGGCAAUUGUAUCGGUCUUCUUGUUCGGCUUCAACCUAUCCCUUGCAUUCUUCCUCGGAUCUACGGUCGUUUCAAUCUCGGUGUAUCUGCAUUCUGUCGGGAAGCCACAGCAGCAGAAAUGA